CUUCCUGGGCGAGGGGCGGACCUUGAGGCACACCUGCAGCUAAUCAGUUCAUUAGCCUUGCCUUUGCCUUGCUGGUGUGCCUUGCUGGUUAUUGUUUCCUGUUCCUUCCACGUUGCAUUAUAUUGCUUGACCGCCAAGUCGAGAAGAUAUCUGUUGUGGACUUUUCCAAUGAUCCGUGUGACCUGGCCUUUCCCCCCGCCGACCUCUGAGGUUCCCGCUCAUUGGCUAUGUUAUAUGGUGUUCAAAUAUGGUGAUGACAGACACCCUUGAAGAAUGCUUACCUUGAUUAGGAAACUGGGGUUGUGCCUGAGAGGCACAACUAUUAAUAUUAUGAUAAAGUCCUUGAUUUGCUAAAACUAAUACCAAAUCCAGUGUGUUCCAGCAUUAGAUAAAGAAAGUCAUGUUUUAGUGAGUCAAGUGCUCUAUGAAGAAGAGCAAAAUACGUGUAAUUA